CUCGCACUCUUACAAUGGAAAAGGAGGGAUGCCACGUGACCUUGCAGCGGCAUGCUGAUCUUCUUUUACUGAUUCUGCUUUUUGUUUUCUUUUUUGAAGCUGCAGAGACUCUCGAAGCAUUCCUUUUCUUUGGCUGCUUGCUCCGUUAAGUUCUGGUUUCGUUGUGUUGCAAGAGUAGUUAACUUCCUCGGUUGAGUUUUCAGUGAAUAUUUCGUUGGAGAGCUAAACUGGCUUCAGUAGCGGGAGAGACAGGGAGAAUGGAAACAUUUUCCAUGAACGUAAUUGCCCAGACCCUGUCCGCUCAUUCAGAGAUGAUUGCGCCGGGAGUUAUGGGCAUCAACUUCAUGAAGCCC